rnacentral:ncRNA from 1 species
UAAGGGAUGCUUUUAUGGGUUUAAAAUUUGAUUAUGGUUUAAGAAUUGUUAAAAUAAUAUUAUUUAAUUUUAAUUUAUUAAGUGGGCAAUAAGUUUUUACCCCGGUAAUUAAUUAUUUGUAUAAUACUUGUUCCAGAAUAAUCGGCUAUACUUGUAGAAUUUAGGCUUUAUUUUGUUUUAAUUACAGAUUUUAAGUUUUAGAUUUUAAUAAUUUUAGGUUAAAUUUUAAUUAAUGUUUUUUUUUGUCUGUAAUUGUAAGUUUUGAUAAGUGAAUUAGAUUAGUACCUAAUUAGUCAAAAGUUAAUAGAUCAGAAGUAAAGUGGUAUUUAAACUGAAAGAAUAUUGGCAGAUUUUCUAAAUUAUCUUUGGAGGUUGAGUAAUAAUUGAGAACCCUCAUUAACAACUUUUAUUUUCGUCUCAUGUAUGAUCGUUUAUUUUAUGCUUAAGGUAUAUAAUUUUAAAUUUUAAUUUGAAAAAAUAGAUAUAUAUUUGGUUUAUAUAGAAGUUAAAUUUGACCUACAAUAUAGUGAUAUGUGGAUUUACUUUUUAGUAGAAGUAAUGAAAAUGUAAAAGACAGUAAAGGAGUUUUUAUGGCUUCUUGAAGAUUAUUUAGAUGUGGUACAAAUCAUCCAUCAAUUGCCCAAAGGGGAGUAAGUUGUAGUAAAGUAGAUUUAGGGGAACCUGAAUCUAGUAG